rnacentral:misc_RNA from 1 species
UAAAGUGCGAUAUGUAGUGCGAUUUGCAUGAAUCUGUGAGUCAUUUAAUCUUUGAACGCAACUUGCAUCCCGUGAGGGGUAUGUCUGUUUGAGUGCCGCAUUUAAUGUAGAUUGAUGGUUGUCUAUGGACUCUGUCUAAAAGUAGCCAGUAAUGUCGUGGAAAUAGUUAUCCCGAGUGCUAAGCAUUCUUGGUCUGACUAGCCACGGCGGGAGUGAUGGUAGUCAUGUACCACCACUCUCACUAAACUUGGCCUCAAAUCAGGCAGGAUUACCCGCUGAACUUAA